CUGAAGGGAAGGGAGAGCAUUGGACCCCAGCUGGGAAGCAGAACAACAUCAGGGAAACAGAAGGGGGUCUACUCCUUCAGAGGAUGCUGGGAUGCGUGUGACCAAGAGAUCUCAGAUAGUCCACAAUAUCAGGAAACCAAAGCUACAUAGUAUUCCACCAUGGGAAUCCAUAGAUUCUCCAGGACUCUGUAGAAGGACACAUGGGUUCCAGAAUUUCCCUGAUCUAAACAACACUGCCAUGAAUAACCAUGUAUGUGCAUCCUUCCACACGUGUGCAGGUGCCUCUGGGGGAUAAAUUCCCAGAAGUGCCACCCCACCUUUUCUUCCUGGCAAAUUCUUACUCACCUGCUGACACCCACGGCCCAGAAAACCAGACAUAAGAAGAGGCAUGCCCAGAGAGCAAAAGAAGGGCUUCAGUUUGGGAAGAUGAAGAAGUUCUGGGGAUGGAGGGCGGAGACAGCUCAACGACAGUGUGACUGGACUCAACGCCACUGAACUUUACUCUCAAAACCCGUGAAGAUGGGCCCAGCUGACGACACUUGAAGUCCUGGUCGUUUUUCUGUAAGGUGCUAUUGUGUAAGGUGGGAGAACAGAUACUCAUGUGGGUGUUGCUGAAGCUCAAACAUGUUUAUCUGCACCUGGACGAUGGAAUGCCUUCACACAGAUGGA